UGAUAACGGUGGGAUGUCUGAGAAUUUUUUAACAAUAAAAAAAAAAAUGUUUUAAUCGCUUAUUUACAGAGAAGCAAACAGAACAACGAAUUCUCGAAUCGAUUUUUUCAUAAUCGAGUAGAUAUAACCCAAUCGGAAGCUUCCAGUUUUGCUUGAGGAAAAAUCCAUACACACAAAGAAGAAUCUCACCGCGAAAUCAUCAGCUAUGGGUUGGGUCUGAGUCGACGAUUCGUCCGCGGCUAAAGCCGGCAAAGAUCUCACCGAUCAACCGCUCGGAGAUUCCACCGCCGCCGAUAGCAAUUGCUCCACCACCACGGUGGUAAGAUCGCAGUGCAAGACGGAGGAGGUUGAACCUGGGCAGUUCGUAGGAAAUACGAUAAAACCGAAGAGGUUCUUCGCCGCUGCCUUGGCAAGUGAGUGUUUCUCAUCUUUUCUCGGUCUCUGGAGAAUUGAACUUCUUUAGGGAUUAGAGUGAAAGAGAGUCAUAAGCUAUGAUGUUUGAUUUAUUGGAUUUGGAACAUAAAUUUAUUGAUUGAGGUUGAAAUGUAAAGAUCAAAUUAUGUAAGUUUAUUCAGGAUGAGUGUGUUAGUUGUUUUUGGGGCUCUGAGUUCACAUCAAUGUUCAUGCUUAUAGGUAUAGUUCCAAGAUUGGCUCUCUCUAUUUUACCGGUACUAAGGUUGGGAUUGGGAUUGCAAGCAUAUGUAUAUGGAUAUAGUUUACAUGUUGUGUUAUGGUACAUGUGAAAUGACCUUCUAUCGCUGAAACAUUAUGGUACAUAUGUAAUAUGUUUCCAUAGUCAGAAGCAGCAGUAUCAAAAAGAAAUUGUCAGGAUUUUCUCAUCUCUGAUGCUGUAAUUUGCAUGUUUUGUGGGUAAGUAAGUGGACUAAACUGCAGGUUAGUCUUGCCUCUCUCGAGAAAUCUAUGUGGUCUAUAGUUGAGAGAGGUGUAGACUGUUCCUCAGUGGUUAGAUUCUCAGAAACGCUGAGCAGAAGACUCAUGAAGUGUAUCUAUGUGGUCUAUAGUUUAGUUAGAACAACUAUGUAUGCACAUGGUAACAUAAGAUUCAUCAACACGCGGAGCAGUUUGGCCUGAAAGUUGGCCUGAAAGAGUGGAGACUGUUCCUCAGUGGUUAGAUUCUCAGAAAGGUGUAUAUGGAAAACCUGCACAAGAGGAUUUCACAGCAGACCAUGAACGCUGGAAGACUAUUGUUUCAAAGUUCCUAUCGACUCACCUGAUACACUUCCGAUUAUGUACGAACGUGGUUUGUUUGGAAUCUAUCAUGAUUGGUGUGAAUCAUUCACCACUUACCCUCGGACUUACGACCUUCUCCACGCUGAUCAUCUUUUCUAUUCACUGAAAAAAGAGGUGCAACUUGGUUGGGGUGAUGGCUGAAGUAGACCGGAUUCUUAGACCAGAAGGUACUUUUAUAGUAAGGGAUGACAUGGAAACAAUAGGAGAAUUGAGAAGAUGGUGGAAUCGAUGAAACAGAAUGUAAGAAUGACACAUUCCAAAGAUGGAGAAGGAUUGCUCUCUGUUCAGAUGUCAUGGUGGCGUCCUACCCAGGCCGAGACAAUCCAGGCGGCAAUAGCUUGAGGUCAAGGAUACGGAGAAGAGUGUGAGUUAAUAUAGUUUUAUGAGUAAGUUGUUUAUCUACGAUCCAAUUGAUUGUUUCUUACAUGUAUUAGUCCAAAAUUUGUAUUCCGUUUUUGCAUUGAAGAAAGUUGUAUACAUUAUACAAGACAAUUGUCUCAAAAGUGUAAUCUUAUAAUCAGCUUUUGCAUUGGUCCUUA